rnacentral:rRNA from 1 species
UACGUAGGAUGCAAGCGUUGUCCGGAUUUAUUGGGCGUAAAGAGUUUCGUAGGCGGUUCGUUUAAGUCUGGAUGUUAAAGACUGGGCUCAACCCCGGGAGUGCAUUGGAUACUGGGCGGACUGGGAGUGUUGGUAGAGGCUAGUGGAAAUUCCCAGUGUAGCGGUGAAAUGCGUAGAUAUUGGGAAGAACACCCAGUGGCGUAGGCGACUAGCUGGGCCGAUAAACUGACGCUGGAGGAAACGAAAGCCCAGGG